rnacentral:tRNA from 1 species
GGGGAUUUAACUCAGUGGUAGAGCGCUUGCCUAGCAAGCACAAGGCCCUGGGUUCGGUCCCCAGCUCCCCCC